rnacentral:ncRNA from 1 species
CUAUGAUUAACAUUAAUCAUGGCGGAAGGAG